rnacentral:rRNA from 1 species
GGAUGAACGCUGGCGGCGUGCCUACUCCAUGCAAGUCGAGCGAACGGACGAGAAGCUUGCUUCUCUGAUGUUAGCGGCGGACGGGUGAGUAACACGUGGAUAACCUACCUAUAAGACUGGGAUAACUUCGGGAAACCGGAGCUAAUACCGGAUAAUAUUUUGAACCGCAUGGUUCAAAAGUGAAAGACGGUCUUGCUGUCACUUAUAGAUGGAUCCGCGCUGCAUUAGCUAGUUGGUAAGGUAACGGCUUACCAAGGCAACGAUGCAUAGCCGACCUGAGAGGGUGAUCGGCCACACUGGAACUGAGACACGAUCCAGACUCCUACGGGAGGCAGCAGUAGGGAAUCUUCCGCAAUGGGCGAAAGCCUGACGGAGCAACGCCGCGUGAGUGAUGAAGGUCUUCGGAUCGUAAAACUCUGUUAUUAGGGAAGAACAUAUGUGUAAGUAACUGUGCACAUCUUGACGGUACCUAAUCAGAAAGCCACGGCUAACUACGUG